rnacentral:ncRNA from 1 species
GGGGGAGAGACUACGUUUGUAGCGCCGAAGGAGCAAACAUAUAGCAUGUGAAUCUCUCAGGCAAAAAGACCCCUG